rnacentral:rRNA from 1 species
AUGGAUUCGGCGCACCUGUCAGCUUCCCGGACCCGGGCAGGGCGCCCGGCCGCACCAUGGCCGGCGAUUGCUGCAGAACUGCGGCCAUUGCUGCUCGGAGCGUGCCGAUCGUUUCUGAUCAUCCACACCCUGGUUAAUAGUCAAGAGCUCUUCUUCAAUGGAUUGCAGCACAGACACUGCCUCCUUCGGAGAAAACGCUUAUUCUACGGCUGUGUUCUCUGCAAAGCUUGCCCACUUCACGACCACAAAGACAUAGACUUGAUCGUACACCUUGUCAAAGAGCCGGAAGUAAGCAAUUCUCCAUGUCUUCUUGAACAGCAGUGCACAAAACACCAUCCAGAGUCCCACCACAAAUCCAAGCACAAGACCAAAGUAAAACGUCAGUGGAUCAAAUUUUUGGUUGCUGUUGGCGACAUCUCCCUGGAUGAAAGGAUCAUUUCCUGA